UUUGUCUGCAUAUCUUUGUCAAAUAUUAUACUUUUCUUGUGAAAAUAAGAUUCAUAUAUAUAUUUUUUAGAUAGUUAUCUGAUUAAAAAUUUAAUUAAUUAACCAACCUUAUUAAUAAACUAACAAUACUAAUCAAUCUCCAUCAUCACUAUUAUAAGUGUGAAUACCAACAUUGAUCCUCUCCAGAUCUCAGUCACAUCGUGUCUCUUAGUUACCUCUCUCUCUCAUGUUUCUUUUUCUCCUCCUCCUCUCUGCUUCUCGCUCCGGUGAAUCUUCGCCGUCCGGGGACGCCAACAGAAAAAGUUUUCCGGAGGGGUUCGUGUUCGGAACCGCCACGUCAGCAUAUCAGGUUGAAGGCGAGACGUACCAAGAUGGGCGUGGUCCAAGCAUCUGGGAUGCAUUUGUCAAGAUUCCUGGCAAGAUUGCUAACAAUGCCACGGCUGAGUUAACAGUGGACCAGUAUCACCUUUACAAGGAAGAUGUAGAUUUGAUGCAGACACUGAACUUUGAUGCCUACAGAUUUUCCAUUUCAUGGUCCAGAAUAUUCCCUGAGGGAGCCGGUAAAAUCAACUGGAAUGGAGUUGCUUAUUACAACAGAUUGAUAGAUUACUUGGUCCAAAAAGGGAUUACACCGUACGCGAAUCUGUACCACUACGAUCUUCCUCUGGCUUUGGAAAAGAAGUAUAAAGGCUUGCUUGGUAGACAAGUUGUGGAAGAUUUUGCGGAUUACGCAGAGUUUUGUUUCAAGACAUUUGGUGAUAGAGUGAAGAACUGGAUGACAUUCAACGAGCCACGAGUAGUAGCUGCUUUAGGUUAUGAUAACGGUAUAUUCGCACCGGCUAGAUGCUCUAAAGCCUUUGGAAACUGCACUGAAGGAAACUCUGCCACUGAACCGUAUAUCGUUGCACAUCACCUUAUCCUGGCACAUGCUUCAGCCGUCCAGCGAUACCGCCAGCACUAUCAGGAGAAACAAAAGGGAAGGAUUGGUAUUCUUCUUGAUUUCGUUUGGUUCGAGCCUCUUACGAGUAGUGAAGCAGACAAUGACGCUGCUCAAAGAGCAAGAGACUUCCAUCUCGGAUGGUUCAUUCAUCCAAUAGUAUAUGGAGAGUAUCCGAAGACGAUGCAGGACAUAGUGAAGGAGAGGCUUCCAAAAUUCACGGAGGAGGAAGUGAAGAUGGUGAAGGGUUCCAUAGAUUUUGUGGGAAUAAACCAAUACACGACUUAUUACAUGUCCGCUCCACAUCCCACAGCCAAACCUAAAGAUUUAGGUUAUCAACAAGAUUGGAACGUCGUUUUUAACUCAUUACUGAGAAACCUCAAUCUCUACACAUGCAGUUGCAAAGGAUGGGAAACCAAUUGGUCCAAGGGCACAUUCGGAAUGGUUAUACAACGUACCAUGGGGAAUGUACAAGGCCAUGAUGUACGUUAAGGAACAUUAUGGCAACCCUACUAUGAUCCUUUCAGAAAAUGGUAUGGAUGAUGCGGGCAACAUUACUCAAGCUCAAGGAGUAAAUGAUACAUCAAGAAUCACGUAUUAUAGAGACUACUUAACGCAGCUUAAAAAGGCAGUAGACGAUGGUGCCAAUGUAACUGGAUAUUUCGCGUGGUCAUUGCUUGAUAAUUUUGAAUGGUUAUCUGGAUAUACUUCAAGGUUUGGAAUUGUGUACGUUGACUACAAGGACUUGAAACGAUACCCCAAGAUGUCUGCUUUAUGGUUUAGACGUCUUUUGAAACGGGACCAGUGAUGAGAUUAAUGUCUCCAUGAUUGGAUAUAUGUGAUAUUUAUUUGACUUUCCAACGCUAAUAAAAGUUUCAGCAGCAAGAAGUUUUGUCUUGUAUAUACGUUGUAACUUUCAAUAAUGUGUAUGGCGUUUUACAUUGAA